rnacentral:pre_miRNA from 1 species
UGAUGACUCGGAUGAUGAUGAUGAUGAUGACUCGGAUUAUUAUUAUUAUUAUUUUUAUUAUUAUUAUCAUAGUCAUCAUCAUCAUCAUCAUUAUCA